UGUAUAUUUUUUUUUAGUGAGGUAUAACAUAUAUCAUGUUAUGUUAGUUCUAGGUGUACAUUGUGUAUAUUGUGAAAUGAUCACCAUAAGAGGUCUAGUUAACAUCCGUCACUAUGCAUAGUUACAGAAUUAUUUUUUCUUAUGACGAACUUUUAAGAUCUGUUAUUAUUUUUAUCAACUGUAGUUGCCAUGCUGUGCAUUACAUCCCUCUUUUGCCCACUUCCUACCUCUGGCAACCACCUGAAAUGCCUUUUAAUAUCAGUAAAAGAAAGUACCUGCUUACGUCAGUUAAAGCUGGAGUGCGUUACUAGAAACCGAAAUGGUAACUCAAACAGUUGUACAAAGAGUCAUUCUAGUACUUUCCCAGAGGAGAUCCAUUCCCAUAAUCAUUUAUUAUUUACUAUCAGAUAUUUAUUUGUUUUUUUAAGUAAGAACACACAUAAUAAACAAGAUUUAAUGAACUCAGUUUGUGCUGUCACGUGGGAGACCUUGAAUAUGACAGGUUUGGCAGGUUUGGGAGGGAAGGUCUAAUUACUGGUGAGAGGAAGGGCGAAAGGAAGCCUGUUGAGGAAAACAUGAGAAUAUCUUCAUGAUCUUGUAGUAGAAGAGAUUUUUUUGAAAUGACACAAGCAUUAACUGGUAAAGGAAAAAUGGAUCAAUUGGAUUUCAUUAAAAUGAAGACAUUUAUCAGAAGACAUCAUUACAGUGAAAGGCAAGCUGAAGUCUGAGAGAAGACACAUAACUUGGAUAAAGUUCCCCCCCAAUUGUUAAAGCCAGUAACAUUUCACCAAGUGUCAAUUAAAAUUUUCCUAUUGAUGAUAUUCUUUGUCAGAAUCCUUUUGGUGAGGUUUCUCUUGGGUACUUGACAUUUCUAGUUGUUAUUAGGCAGGGAAGAUAAUCUUGUUGUUUUUUAAGAUUUUAUUUAUUUGACAGAGGGAGCAGCAGGCAGAGGGAGAGGGAGAAGCAGGCUGUUCGGUGAGCAGGGAGGCCCAUGCACUGGGCUUGACCCCAGGACCCCGGGAUCAUGACCUGAGCCGAAGGCAGAUGCUUAACUGAAUGAGCCACCCAGGCACCCCGUGGGGCAGAUAAUGUUUGUGGCAAUGUUUGCCUUGUUCUGUUUGAUCUCCUAAAAUUUUUAUCUGCCUCUUCUAAUGGAUGUGGAUUGGGGAGGAGGUAAGCUUGUACAUCCAGCACAUUUCCCUUUGUCAGUUCUCAGGGUUGAUUGGGAUCCAAAAGUGGCAUUUCCAGGCUGCAGGUAUGUUACAGAUCUUUUCACGGAUAUAGAUCAGCAACGGUGGUAUUGGGGCACCUGGCUAGGCUUGGUCGGAAAAGCAUGCAACUCUGUUCUCAGGCUUCUAAGUUUGAGCUCCAUGUUGGGAGUAGAGAUUACUUAAAAAAAAAAAAAAA